UAUAACGUCAAUACUGAGUAUAAAAAAUGGUAUCCUGCCUUGCUCCGUCUUCUUUACACGAAUACAAUACAGCCCAAUCCCUCACAGUCCCGGCCAAAAAAAAAAAUCUAUUACAUCAUUUAUUUACUCGCGAACCUUCACUUCAAAGGAUCCAAGUCUCCCCAGUCCAACGCUCCUGUUCCUCCUGAGCUCUUCUCCCAGACAGGUUUGGGCGCCGCAGUCGGCUGCAUAACACCCCUAGACCAACCCGGUGGUGGGGAGACUACCGACUGUGGAGCAAGUGGCGGUGCCAGUGCUGCCGGAGUCUGCAGCUGCGGUUGUUGAUGUUGUUGCUGUGGAGCUAGAGUUGGCGCAAGUGCUGGUUGCGAGAAGGAAGAAGGUUGUGGUAUUUGAGGGGACAUGAACGACAACGGUGAGGAUUGAUGUUGAGAUUGGGACUGGGCAGGUGAUUGGGGGGUCAAGGAUAUAUUAUAAUUCGGACCUGAUCCUAAUAAAGAAACAUUCGAAGUAUAUGACGGAGCUCGACUUGGUUGAGGUUGAAUCUGAGGUUGGAGGGGCGAGAAAGACGAUGUGGUAGGUCGUAGAGGAGGUAACCCCGCCGAUGUGGGCGUCAACACGUUACUACCCGAAGAAGUGGAAGACCCAAACGCCGCCGAAUUGAAUGAGGAAGCAGAUAUAGGCCUGGCCUUCAACUUGGCCGAGGCGGCGGGAGUAGUGGUCGAUGUGCUCGGUUUGAGUGACGUACCAGUUGUAUUUACCGAUAAAGGCCUAGGCGAUACAGAAGCUGGCGUAGUGAUAGGGAACGAGUUGCCUGUAUUGUUAACACUCACGCUCAAACCGGGGAAAGCAGAUGCUAAUCCACCACCAUCGUUAUUUGCCAUUGCCGUUGAUGGGGUAUCGUUCAACCAGCCUUCAUCGUCCCACGGGUCCGUGACGCCUGUCACUCCGGCUGUAGGCACCACCGACCCAUAAGAUCCCAUUCCUGAGGCCUUCCCUCUGACAAGAGCUUCAAAGUCGACGUCCCCACCACCAUUCCCGUUACUCUGUCCAAGGCCACCGAAGGAACCAUCAUUUAGCGCAGCAGUAUUGGCAGCUGCCAAGCUGGCUGUUUGCGCUUCAAUGCGACGGACAUCUCGGAGAUGUUGAGUGUGUUCUGCUUCAACACGGGCGCCUAGGGUUUUGAUUAUGCUAUUGAGACCAAAGUAAUAAUGUCAUACUAUCGCGAUACGCAUUAAUAAUUGGACCAAGAAAUCCAAAUAGGUACUUACAGGGGCCCAUAGACAUGGACCAAAGUUGAGGCAGUACAAGAGUUGCAGUCGCUUCUCGAUCAACUUUGGCGCCCAUAGCUUCGUGCACCGCCAGCGUGGCCAUCUGUAUUCGUUCGCUUAGCUCAUUUUGCCUUUUCAUGAAGAGAAAAAAGACAAUAAAUCUACCAUGACAGCAGGUUCUUUUGUCUUGAUUUUGGCCAAAAGCGGUACCAACUUGCUCGUCAAAGUCGCCUUAUCCAAUGUGCCCACCAUUGCUCUAAAACAAUCCAAUGUCUGGACUUUAACACUCAAUAUUCUUGUCCGCGUAAAUACAAUCGCAACUUUGACAAGGAGCACGUUUUGUACGGUGCCGUAAUCGAGAAUUUCACAUAGAUGGGGGAUAGUUUUCAAGACGCGUUCUUGUACGGGGAAGUGCUCGCUUUCGAGUGAAUUGUAGAUGAGGGGCAUGACGUUUUCGCGGAAUACUUGAGGGGUUGUCUUUUCUUCAAAAAGGCCAAGGUGCUCCAGUAAUGCUAUUUGUAAAAUUGUUAGCCUUCUCAAUUGCUUUCAUCUAUGGGAU
rnacentral:sRNA from 1 species